CCUACGGGAGGCAGCAGUGGGGAAUAUUGCGCAAUGGGCGAAAGCCUGACGCAGCGACGCCGCGUGAGGGAUGAAGGUCUUCGGAUCGUAAACCUCUGUCAGCAGGGCAGAACGGUCACUGUGCUAAUCAGCAGUGAAUUGACGGUACCUGCAAAGGAAGCACCGGCUAACUCCGUGCCAGCAGCCGCGGUAAUACGGAGGGUGCGAGCGUUAAUCGGAAUUACUGGGCGUAAAGCGCUCGUAGGCGGUAUGUCAAGUCAAGGGGGAAAUCCCCGCGCUCAAGGUGGGAACUGCCUUUGAAACUGGCAAACUGGAGUGUGUGAGAGGAUAGUGGAAUUCGAGGUGUAGGAGUGAAAUCCGUAGAUAUCUGGAGGAACAUCAGUGGCGAAGGCGACUAUCUGGCACAUAACUGACGCUGAGGAGCGAAAGCGUGGGUAGCAAACAGGAUUAGAUACCCCUGUAGUC
rnacentral:rRNA from 1 species